AGUGAACGCUGGCGGCGUGCUUAACACAUGCAAGUCGAACGAGAACGGAAUAUAGCUUGCUAUAUUUGUCAGCUAAGUGGCGCACGGGUGAGUAAUGUAUAGAUAACCUGCCCUUAAGAAAGGAAUAACAGUUGGAAACGACUGCUAAUGCCCUAUAUGCCUUUAAUACGUAAGUAUGCAAGGGAAACGCUUUAGUGCUUAAGGAUGGGUCUGUAUGGUAUCAGCUUGUUGGUGAGGUAAUGGCUCACCAAGGCUAUGACGCCUAACUGGUUUGAGAGGAUGAUCAGUCACACUGGGACUGAGACACGGUCCAGACUCCUACGGGAGGCAGCAGUGGGGAAUAUUGCACAAUGGACGAAAGUCUGAUGCAGCAACGCCGCGUGGAGGAUGACACAUUUCGGUGCGUAAACUCCUUUUAUAUAGGAAGAUAAUGACGGUACUAUAUGAAUAAGCACCGGCUAACUCCGUGCCAGCCGCCGCAGUAA
rnacentral:rRNA from 1 species